CAAGCUCCUCUUUUAUGGAACCAGCUUCCAAUUUCAGUCCGGGAGGCAGACACAGUCACCUCGUUUAAGAGUAGACUUAAGACCUUCCUCUUUGACAGAGCUUAUAGUUAGGGCUGAAUCAGGUUUGCCCUGGUCCAGCCCCUUGAUAUGCUGCUAUAGGCUUAUAGCUGCCGGGGGACGUUUAGGAUGCACUGAGUACCUAUCUCCUCUUUUUUCUCUCCUUAAGGAUGAAUUUUCAUCUCUCAAUCACACGUUACUAACUCUGCUUUCUCCCCGGAAGUCCUUUUGACUUUACGUCUCAUGGGGUCAUCGGACCCUAUGAGACGGCAUAGAUCCUAUCUGCCUGAUGGAUCGUCUGGGUCGUGGAAUUCCUGCUCAUGACUACGCCACUGUCCUGUUGAGACUCCGCCCACUCCUCCUCCCCACCGCCAUCUGCCUGAUGGAUCGUGGAGGAGAGGGAUCCUCCUCUGUUGCUCUCCUCCAGGUUUCUUCCCUUUUUUUCCCCCUGAAGGGUUAUUUGGGAGUUUUUCCUGGUCCGAUGUGAGGUUUUGGGGCAGGGAUGUCUAUGUGUACAGAUUGUAAAGCACUCCGAGACAAAUUUGUAAUUUGUGAAAUUGGGCUAUACAAAUAAACUGAAUUGAAUUGAA